rnacentral:rRNA from 1 species
AUGCGAGUGUGGCGAGAUAUUGGACAAGACCCAAAGACGGGCGCCGAGCAAAAGCAUUCAAUCUUUUGGACUCGUGUGCACCGCGAGUUUCAUGAGCGCAAGAAGUUUCCACCCUACCAAUUUGUGAGCACGAGCGGGUGGGUCUCCAUUUCCAAGCGGUGGAGGGUAAUCCAACAAGAGUGCAACAAGUUUUGUGCCACCCUUGAGAGUGUCAAGGCCCGCCCCGUGAGCGGCAUCGGCGUGCAAGACAUGGUAUGA